ACUCCUACGGGAGGCAGCAGUGAGGAAUAUUGGUCAAUGGACGAGAGUCUGAACCAGCCAAGUAGCGUGAAGGAUGACUGCCCUAUGGGUUGUAAACUUCUUUUAUAAGGGAAUAAAGUGAGGGACGUGUCCCUUUUUGUAUGUACCUUAUGAAUAAGGAACGGCUAACUCCGUGCCAGCAGCCGCGGUAAUACGGAGGAUCCGAGCGUUAUCCGGAUUUAUUGGGUUUAAAGGGAGCGUAGGUUGACAUAUAAGUCAGCUGUGAAAGUUUACGGCUCAACCGUGAAAUUGCAGUUGAUACUGUAUGUCUUGAGUGUACAAGAGGUGGGCGGAAUUCGUGGUGUAGCGGUGAAAUGCUUAGAUAUCACGAAGAACUCCAAUUGCGAAGGCAGCUCACUGGGGUACAACUGACACUGAGGCUCGAAAGUGUGGGUAUCAAACAGGAUUAGAUACCCUGGUAGUC
rnacentral:rRNA from 1 species